GAUGAACGCUGGCGGCGUGCCUAAUACAUGCAAGUCGAGCGAACUGACGAGAAGCUUGCUCCUCUGAUGUUAGCGGCGGACGGGUGAGUAACACGUGGAUAACCUACCUAUAAGACUGGGAUAACUUCGGGAAACCGGAGCUAAUACCGGAUAAUAUAUUGAACCGAAUGGUUCAAAAGUGAAAGACGGUCUUGCUGUCACUUAUAGAUGGAUCCGCGCUGCAUUAGCUAGUUGGUAAGGUAACGGCUUACCAAGGCAACGAUGCAUAGCCGACCUGAGAGGGUGAUCGGCCACACGGGAACUGAGACACGGUCGAGACUCCGACGGGAGGCAGCAGUAGGGAAUCUUCCGCGAUGGGGGAAAGGCGGACGGAGCAACGUCGCGUGAGGGAUGAAGGUCUUCGGAUCGUAAAACUCUGUUAUUAGGGAAGAACAAAUGUGUAAGUAACUGUGCACAUCUUGACGGUACCUAAUCAGAAAGCCACGGCUAACUACGUG
rnacentral:rRNA from 1 species